ACGCUCGACACCUACUGGAGGCAGCAGUUGGGAAUAUUGGACAAUGGAGGAAACUCUGAUCCAGUGACGCCGCGUGAAGGAAGAAGGUCUUCGGAUUGUAAACUUAUUUUGUCAGGGAAGAAAAAUGACUGUACCUGAAGAAAAAGCACCGGCUAACUACGUGCCGACAGCCGCCGGUAAUCUGAGCGGGCGUGGCAAGGC
rnacentral:rRNA from 1 species